AGGUGGGCCCUGCUGUCAUUCGACCGCUCAGCAACCAUCUCUGGUCAGCUGUGGGGCAGUUUGCUGGUUGACUGUCCUCUCCUUGGGAGAUCUUGCAGCUCUGGAGAUCUGGUUUAGGUGAUCUGAGUUUUGUUCUACAGAACCCUGACUAAUACAUGAAUCAUGAAAUGUAUUUGUGUUAAUACAUAGUGAUCAGAAAGGAAAAGAAUGUUGGUGAGGCGGAGAGGCAGUGUAAAGCCUGUGUCAGGCUCUCAGCCAAGGAAACAAUGCCAAGGACCUCAACUCUGGUGGCUACAGUACAACUAGGAAUGGAAUGGGAAAGACCUUUUAAGACAACAGAUUGGGGCUGGUAAGAUGAUGGCUCACGGUUAAAGAACUGACUGCUCUUCCAGAAGUCCUGAGUUCAAUUCCCAGCAACCACAUGGUGGCUCACAGCCAUCUGUAAUGGGCUCCGAUGCCCUACUCUGGUGUGUCUGAAGACAGCUACAGUGUACUCAUAUAAAUAAAAAUAAAUCUUUAAAAAAAAGACAUUAGAUUACAUGCAAUAAACACAUGUAUAUAGCAAGGAAGGUGAAGUGAAAAAAGUUGAAGGCCACUUGGAGACGUCACGGCUAUGUACAUGGAUGUAAUCUGACAACGUCACUAACCAAACAAGUGGGGGAAACAAAUUCUGCUUCUAGAUAUGAUGAAAACAAAAUCAUUUACAGCCUAUGUUAAGAGAAGCUGUAAUAACAGGAACUUGAAACUGAGAUCUGGAAUUCAGAGACAGAUUGAAGCUCAAGAUUUAAGAACAUACUAGGAAACAGUAAAGUCUAAAAUGGAUCAAAUUACCCAGGAACUGGUUAAUCAAAAGUAUGUAUGUAGCACAGAAUAAAAGGCUUUCUUGUUAGCCUCACUUAAACACAGAAUUUUAAUAAGCCUUAUAUGUGGUAUCAUUUAGAAUAAAAAAUUAAUGUCAAGAGUAGAAAAUGACACAAAAAUUAUCUGCUUGUAUGUGUGCUUUGGCAUGACAGUCAGUGGCCUAAUUUAAUCAAAUCUGAGAUUUAGAAAUAAGAAAUUAUUCCCAAGCCAUCCACGGUACACCCAGAGGAUGAAAAACUGCAGGGAGGGAGUGAGUGUCGGGCCCCAUCAGUGUGUUCAGACACUAGGACUGAAUCGAGGAGUUCAGCAGCAACUCUUCGAGGGAAGCCAUCUUUAGUGAAGACGUUUAGAAACACCUUGAGACAUGUUUAGAGAUCACAGAAGAAAUGGUUUAAGUAACAGAUCUAAGUACAAAAUACAUUUUAUUUAUUCAAAUCAUGUUGGUUUUCAGAAUAUUUUGAAGUAACACACAAAAUUAUAUCAAAGCUAUAUUUUAAUCUCAGCCCACUCCACACUAAAUUCUUUACUGUUUACCAAAAAUAACUUUUUAUAAAGCUUACUAUUUUUGUCUAAUAUAAUACAGAUUGCUGAUCUAUUUUUAUGUGUUUCUCUCAAAAAUUAGAAGAGCUUAUGAGCAUAUCAUACAAAACUAAGUGGUAUAUUACACACCAAACACGAGUACAGAUUCUGUACAAUAAUGUAACAGCAUACACAUACUACAUGAGACUACAUGCCUUGUUAGGUCAUAUUUUCAGAAAUCUUUCAUGGAAAAAUUCUACAUUGCAAAAGGUGGUGGUUCAUACUCAAACUCAAAUUCUUUUCAUGAAUUUCUUUCAGAGGGCAUUAGUUGUCCAUUUAACUUCAUUAGCAGCUUUACCACAAGACCAGCCUACAAAAUAAAACAGAUGUUAACAUCAAAUAUGAAACAUAAAAAGAUUAAAAGACAUAUAGAGUAGUAGGCAUUUUCAUACCUACUUGAAAGAUAACUAUUAGGAAGAGACAGCACGUCAAGAAACUGGGCAUAUCUGACACAUCUGCAAACCCACGAACUUAGCUCUAGGCCUGCAGGUGUGAACCCUUUUCAUUAAAGAACUCCCUUUGCCUGGUCUAGCCCCAGCCCUGUAGGUUCAGGGCCACAUUUCUCUGGUUCAGCUAAACAGCUUAAGCAUCAGCUUUACAAGGCCUAGUUUAGAUCACAUGAGUGUUGAGCAGCAUGGCUCAAUCUAAGGAAAGCCAGAUUAUCACAUCAGACACCCAACCAACACAUACCCAGGUCACAUGGCAAAAACAAAGAUUGGCCAACAGCAUGUCUCCCAUCAAACCCACUAGUCCCACAGAAGUGUUCUGCAAUGAGAAGUACAUAGAUGAACCUCAGGACAUAAGACUCAAAAGAAUAAUCAUAAAGAUUACCAAAGGAUUCAAGGAAUUCAAAGAAGAUACAAAUACUUUAUUGAACUCCAAGAGGAUAACAAUAAACACUGGAGUGCUAACCAAGAAAAUACACACAUCUGAGUAAAAUAAAAAUAACUUAGGAUUUGAAAACUUAAACUGAAUAAAGAGAAACAUUAAUAAGAACACAAGAUGAAAUGAAGAUGUAAUUGAAAAACUCAAUAUGCCAAUGAGAAAACUGAGGGAAAUUUUAAUAAGCAGAAUCAAUCUGAGUCAAACAGACAACAGAUACCUGGACUAGAACAUAAAAGAAUCUAGACUAAAUAAACGAAAAUAAAUCAAGAUUUUUAAUAAGCAUAGAACAGAAACAUAUAGGAAAUAUGGAACAUUAGCAAAAGAUCAAAUCUUUGAAUUACAGGGCAUUCAAUGACAUAAUCCAGAUCUUUAACAAGAUGAUACAUGAAAACUUGUCCAAAUUAAAGACACAUCUACAGACACAAGACAGACACAGAACACCAAAUAAAUAAGAUGAAAAGAAGCAUACAAAAGAAUAUCACAGUUAAAACAUUAAAUAUAACAUAACAAAAGAAGAAAAUAAACCCCCACAAGUCACAUAUAUAGGAAAAUCCAUCAGAAUAACACCUGACUUCUCAAUGGAAACUCUGAAGGCCAUAAAAGCCUAGAGGAAUGCACUCCAAGUUCUAAAAGACAGACCACAAUUGCAAAACUAGACUACUUUAACCAGUGAGACUAUCUACCAAAGUUGACAGAGAAAGAAAAAUUUUCUAUGAUCCAAACAGCUUAUAAAAAUUCAUAUCUAACUACAGCAAAAACACUAAACAAUAUUGGAAGCAAUGCUCUGAACUAAAGAGAGGAAUAAGAAAAGCCAAGAGACCUUGAGGGGCAGGGUGGGUUGGAGAAAGACAAAAUAAAAUUAAGAACACAAACCAGCAAAAAAGAUCAAGAUGACUACAAUCUACAUACACCUUUCAAUAAUAACUCUAAAUAUUAUUGGCCUCAAGUCACCAAUCAAAAGAAAUGGACAAACUUGGAUUAAGAAACAAAAUCCAUCUAUGUGCUGUUUAGAAGAAAUUCUAAAUUUAAAGUUUUAACUUUAAAGAUAGAGACGACCUUAAAGUAAAAGGAGAGAAAAGGCAGUCCCCUACUGAUAGACACUGCACACCUAGGACACAGGAGUUGGACGCUUUGAGAUGGAUCUAACUUGAAAGCCUCUUUCGUGUGGUCUAGCUUUCACAGUUUCAGACAAUACUACGGAAGCUGCCAAGGAAGCAAUUAAGCAGUCCUAUCCUGCUGCAUGACAACCUAUGAACCAUGACAACAGUGUGGCAAGCUAUGCACAAAGGAGCAGUAUAGCAUUUACAUGCCAGUGAUAAUCAACACCUGUCUAACUGGACCUGAGGCACAAGAGGGAAAUCACGGCUAAUACUGGAAACCUAGCCACUUUCCCACAGCUAGUGAAAUCAUGGACCUUAGAAUACCCACUUUGCCAGACCUUAUCCUUGUACCCACAGACGGAUGUAAAGCCACUCAGCCCUCACCAAAGAAGCCUUUCCUCACAGCAGAUGGAGAGCGCCACAGAAAACUACAACUGGGCACAACUGAGAGAUGAAUGGCUCAUGGGGGCCCAGUGCCAACUGACACAUCUACACUAUGGCGCCUAGAUCUAAGGCUCAGGGAGCAUUGCAGAAGAGAAGGUGGAAGAUCACAAGAGACAGAAUAUCAGACACUUACAAGCCACUGGGAAUCACUUUCUCCUACAAAUAGCUGGACACGUAAGACCUGAGCAAUGUCAAUGUCAAGAGACAUGUUACUAUGGAAGGGAGACAUAUUUUAGGAAGAUCCUGCUCCUAGACAGAGAACUAGAGCAAACUACUGACUGCUGGAUGAAGAAUGAGCCUCUCUGAGAGCAACAUGAACGACCUGGUGUCCGAGUACCGGCAGUACCAGGAUGCUACAGCUGAGGAGGAGGCUGAGGAGGAGGUGGCUUAGAGCUGUCUUAGUCACUCCAGCAUGGGAGCAGUGUGAACUCUUUAUUCAUUCACAGCUUGUCUGCUAGCCGUGUCCACUGUGCAUUUGCUGUCCUGUGUCCUGACAUCACUUGUACAGAUACCACCAUUAAAGCAAUUCAUGGUGGAAAAAAAAAA